CCAAAAUAAAACUAGGCGGGAAAAUGAAAUACUCUGGCCAAAUGCUAAGAUGAAAUACACUUUGCAGAAGUCACUCUCUACUCCUCCACCACACUCAUCCAUUUCAAACCCUAAAUCAUAUUCUCACCAAUUUCACUCUUUCUUCUUCUUCUCUUCUUUUUCUUGGUUGAGUUCUUUAACCGGAUCGGAGUAUCUGAAUACGAGUAGUAGUAAAAAUGGUUUCGGAUUCGGAGCUGGUGAAUCGGCUCUGGGAUGUGCUCCAGACCUCCGACCUCAAUACCACCACCGCCCGCUCCGUCCGGCGUACCCUAGAGUCAGAGUUCGACAUCGACUUGUCUGACCGCAAACCCUUCUUCCGAGACCAAAUUGAUUCUUUCCUCGAGACCUGUGUUCAGAGGACCCACAACAACGCUGUCAUUGUUGAAGAAGAAGAUGAAGAAGCGAUUCACGAGGAAGCUUCAGAGACUUUGAAACUUAAAGACAACAAGUCUGUGUCCGAAGAAGAAGAAGAAAGUAAUGGACAGAGACGCAAGAAACGAAGGAAUGAUGGGCUCCGAAAAGACUACAAUGGGCAAGCACUAGCUUAUUCUUUUGUUGACAGGAAAAGACGUGGUGAUCCCGCCAAAUUGAGGGCGUGGAUAAUUGUAAAGAGCACACGGCCCUCCUUUUGUUGUGAAUUCUUUUGUAAAGCUAAGGGCUAACAUGUAUGGGUUUGAAAGAACCUUUUGUUAAUCGGGUUAUCGCCUUGGAAGAUGUAAGCCCGUAAGGGCAUUUUAUUAUUUUGAUGCUAGACAAGAAAUGCAAUAGGGUUAGUUGCUUCAGCUAUUGCUGCAGGUUUCUACAUUGGGCACCCUCGUCCCUAUGAUAGAAGCAAGUGGAUUUGCUACAGUUGCAGCUGCAACUGUUAUAGGAACUGUUGUCGGUAAUUUUAGAUAAUCUCUUAAUAGUUGUUGAUAGAAAGUUAGAUAUGCAUAGUUUUGGAUGGUUUAAACUUUUUGUACAGUUUAGAACUUAAAGAUAUAGUUUUUGAAUGUUUGGAAUGUAUAGACAAUU